rnacentral:misc_RNA from 1 species
GACCCUCGGAUAUAAGCACUUCUUUGAAAGUCAAUGCUAUUUUGAAUGGGGUAGAGAUUAUGAAGAUGAUAAAUGCUGCUGAUUCACAGAGUGAAUAUACAAAGAGAACUAUUUGGAUUGCGCUGGGUUCAACUCUUGGAGGCCUUCUUAUAUUUUCUUUAGCUGUGCUUGCAGCUGUGCUUCUAUGUAAAUGCAAAAAACAGAAACCAAAA